rnacentral:rRNA from 1 species
UACGAAGGGGGCUAGCGUUGCUCGGAAUCAUUGGGCGUAAAGCGCGUGUAGGCGGUUCAGUAAGUCUGCUGUGAAAGUCCAGGGCUCAACCCUGGGAUGCCGGUGGAUACUGCUGGGCUAGAGUACGGAAGAGGCGAGUGGAAUUCCCGGUGUAGCGGUGAAAUGCGCAGAUAUCGGGAGGAACACCAAUUGCGAAGGCAGCUCGCUGGGACGUUACUGACGCUGAGACGCGAAAGCGUGGGGAGCAAACAGG